rnacentral:rRNA from 1 species
AUUGAACGCUGGCGGCAUGCCUUACACAUGCAAGUCGAACGGUAACGGGCCUUCGGGUGCCGACGAGUGGCGCACGGGUGAGUAAUACGUCGGAACGUGCCCGAUCGUGGGGGAUAACGAGGCGAAAGCUUUGCUAAUACCGCAUACGAUCUACGGAUGAAAGCAGGGGACCGCAAGGCCUUGCGCGGACGGAGCGGCCGAUGGCAGAUUAGGUAGUUGGUGGGAUAAAAGCUUACCAAGCCGACGAUCUGUAGCUGGUCUGAGAGGAUGAUCAGCCACACUGGGACUGAGACACGGCCCAGACUCCUACGGGAGGCAGCAGUGGGGAAUUUUGGACAAUGGGCGCAAGCCUGAUCCAGCCAUGCCGCGUGCAGGAUGAAGGCCUUCGGGUUGUAAACUGCUUUUGUACGGAACGAAAAGCCUUCUUUUAAUACAGGAGGGUCAUGACGGUACCGUAAGAAUAAGCACCGGCUAACUACGUG